GUGGAGUCGCUGUAGUACUCAGCCUCACAAACUGGAAACACAUUAAAACGUUAAACAGGCUGCUGCUGCCAUCAGCGUUCUGUAACGGGGUCAGAGGUCAACAAACUCAGAGGUCAACAUUAAAUCUCUACUUUCUGUCUCAUAGUUAGUGGAACAAUUAUCUCAAUAUUAAAACUAUAAACUAAUAAAACAUUCAUCCAACCAACCAACCUACAUUCAUAUGUUUGUUCAUCCAUCCAUCCAUCCAUCCAUCCAUCCAUCCAUCCAUCCAUCCAACCAUUUAUCUGUUGCAUUUAUCUCUUGACAUUUUAGGAUAAAGAACUUGUUUAAGCAUUUAUAGUUGAACUUUUACCACCAGAGAUGAUCUAUUAAUGUUUUCUCUUGUUUUUUUAGUUUUCUAUAGGUGCAUGUGUAUAAGCUAUUUUCCAGCAGCCUGCAGCAGAGUCUGUGGGGAGUUUGUGAAUUCUCUGGCUUCACAUAAACUCUGUGCAUGUUUCCAUUUUAUUGUAAAACAGAGUUACUGCUGUUGUCUGAGAGAGACGGGUAAAAAGAAAUCCCGCUAGACCAAACAGCCCAGAUAAACAGACCGAGUGAUUCUUGGUCUUAAUUUAGCUACUUCGGUUUAAACUCCUUUAGUUUUCAUUUGCUUUUGCUUCAACUGAGGCUAAACUAAAUUAGUUUUGUGUCGCCCAGAGAUUUUCCAAAGCCACACAUGUAACCAAUCUGCUUUGGCAGAUUUUCUAAAAAUCCUUCUUGCACACAUUUCAUGCAGCCUUUUUCUCCUCCUAUGCCCUUCGCUCAUUUCUCUCUUUCUAAAAUUUCAAACAGAGAAAAAGUGAAACAGUGGUAUUUUUCAACUUAACACACAUUGUUCUGGUCCACAGCUGAGUAGAUAAAACAGUUUAAAGCUGAUAUUUUGAACAACUGCACCAUUUUCUCAUUGAUAUCACAUCAGACUAAACCUUUCUUGUCCUACGACUACCAACGAUUUUUAUAAUUGAAGGAGAAAAUCUUCUUGAAAACCUUCAAAUUCAGAUUAGGGCUGAAUAUGGCAGAAAAACGUAUCUUGAUAUAAACAUUUCAUAUCAGUGAAUAUCAAUAAUUGUUUAGUUUUUUGUUUUAAAUAUCUGAAGUAUUUCCAAACUGGUGGCGCUACCCUCCCUGUUUUAUCCAGUUUUCACUCCACGCCGCUGUUUUCUUAUUCUUAAGCAGUUAUGAGCAGUAGUUAUGAACUACUGUGAAAGUUACUCAAUAGGUCGUUGCUAGGUAACCAAAGGGUGCGAGAGUUGCUAGGUAACCACAGAAUGAAUGAGUUGAUUCCACCAACUGAGCUUAACUGAAUACAGACGUAUUAUUGAUCCGUUGCGAUAUCUAUUGCUAUUGAUUUAUUGUCCAUUAUUGUUCAUUAAGAAGUUUACAAACAUUUAAUUAUCUCUCAGGUUUGGUGAGCUUCUCACAGGUUAAUGAGUUCUAGUUAAAUGAAGAUACAGAGUUAAAACUUUCCUGACAGAAACACAGUCCUGAAAACCUCUCUCUGUUUUCUAAUGUGUGGUCCAGGUUUGUUACAGACAUGCGUAGCAUCAACAUUUGACAAAGUUAAGUUUUGGGUUGCCUGGUUGAAACCAGUCAUGGUUGACCUGCCAUAAUAAUUAAUCACAUGAUCAAUUAAAACAAACUCAAUAAUGAGUGAUUUAACAUUUUUCUCUUUUCUCUCUCUCCUUCUACCAAAAAAUUGGAUGAUACAAAUCUUCAGUCUGCUGUUUUGGUCUCAACCAGCUGAAUUUUUAAGGAACAUUUUGUUCAUAAUCUAUUUUAUUUAUUGUUUCUGUUUUGUUUAUUUAGUUUGGAUAUUUAAAAUGUCUUCCAGUGUCAGUUUUAAAUGUUCAUUAGAAUUUAAAGUUUAUUGAUCUUUGAGUUGUUGAAUUAUUUAUGCCAAUACCAUUAUAGUACUUGAAAAUGGUUCCAAACAAUAUUAUUGAUUAUCGCAAUAACUUCUGUAACAAUGUCAUUGUGACAGGCCUAGUAGAUGUAAACAUGCCUAAAUUUCACUUUUUCUCUUUUUUGUGACAUUUUAAAAGUUUUCUCACAAUUUGCAUGACAUUUGGAAGGAAUCAUAGCAAUUAAAAACUGUGGUUUCAGCAUCAUCAGAUCAAAAUGCUAGCAGAUGUAAGUCCAGUGGAAGGCGGUUCUCCAGAGUAUGAAGGCGAAGCGUUAUUUUCUCUUCCAUGUCUCAGUUAUGGAUUAGUUUGUGUUGUUUGGCCACCAAAAGCCCAGUAAACAUAAAUUAAAGCCCGUUUCCUCCCACUGCUGCUGGUUGCGUCAGAGCGGAUGAACAGCAGGUGGCGCUGAUUCUCCAGUGGAAACGCACUGGAGCAGGUGGGUGAAAAACCACAGAUCACCCACAGAUCAUUAACAGAGAUGUUUUAGGAGUGAACACACAGAGAGGGACAGUGAUGAGAAAACCCUUCAGCUUGAGUCUGAUGGGAAAGCUGCUCCCUCAGGACCCUCCUCAUCCUCCCUCACAUCCAUCAGCCGCUCCAGAGACCCUCAGAGACGUUCCUGGGAAAAAGAUUCCUCUCUUCGUCGGAGCUUCACAUCAUAACUCUAGUAGAUUAAGCCCACGGUAGUGACUGAUAAGGCCUCAGAGAGGCAGUUAAAAGUGUUCCUCCUCCUGACAAACAGGAUUUAUUCGGCUUUUAUCUGGAUUUUACUGUCCGUUAAUGUGAAUAAACAAAACAUAUUGUUGCUGAUGACUCUUUUAAUGGUGAAAAUCAAGGUUCAGGAACUGCAUUAGAUGUAGAAACAUUUACGUGUGUGAUUCAUUGUGACAGUUUUAAAAGGUGCAUUUGAAGGGUCAGUAUAUUAGUCAGCCGGUGAUUAACCUUAAAGGGCAAAAAUUCACGUUUUGCACGUUUUCGUACUUCCAUUUUGGUCUCUACUGCUUAUAUUAAAAAAAAGGCCAAGCGCUUA